ACGAACGCUGGCGGCGUGCUUCACCCCUGCCAGUCGCACGGAAAGGCCCCCACCUUGGUGGGGGUGCUCGAGUGGCGAACGGGUGAGUAACACGUGGGUGAUCUGCCCUGUACUUCGGGAUAAGCUUGGGAAACUGGGUCUAAUACCGGAUAGGACCAUGGUUUAGUGUCUCAUGGUGGAAAAAUUAUUGUUUUGGUGCAGGAUGAGCUCGCGGCCUAUCAGCUUGUUGGUGGGGUAAUGGCCUACCAAGGCGUCGACGGGUAGCCGGCCUGAGAGGGUGGACGGCCACAUUGGGACUGAGAUACGGCCCAGACUCCUACGGGAGGCAGCAGUGGGGAAUAUUGCACAAUGGGCGCAAGCCUGAUGCAGCGACGCCGCGUGGGGGAUGACGGCCGUCGGGUGGUAAACUCCUUUCGUUAGGGACGAAGCCACACCUUUUUGGGGUGUGGUGACGGUACCUUUGUUAAGAAGCACCGGCUAACUACGUG
rnacentral:rRNA from 1 species